AGAAGUCCUAGCAGCUUGAGUGUAGCAUUUAUGUCAAAUGUAAGUAGUGCUGACUACCCCUGCACUUUCUGCCCUUCAAAAAAUAGCUGCUUACCUGUAACUUUUGCAUUUUCAAGUGCUAAUUUUAUUCUUUUCCCUGAAGGUCAUAUAUGGUAAAACAGCAAUACCUUUGUAUCUACUGGAUGGUGAAUCAACUGUUUUAGAUCAGUACUGUCCAACAGAAAUAUGAUACACAUCAGGUAUCAUUUAAAAAUGUAUUUCAUUUAACUCAAUAUAUUCAAAACAUUUAAUUUGUAAUUAAUGUAAAAUUGAGAUAGUUUACACUCCUGAUGUUUUUCACCCUUCAGCACAUGUCAACUUGGUCUAGCCACAUUUUGGGUGCUCAGUAGCACAUGUGAAUUGUGGCUACCCCAUUGGACUGCAGUUUUAGAUUCUGAUUCCCAUAGUUCCAUGUAUUUCUCACUGAGAGGCCUAUAAAUUAUACAGUGUGCUCUAUUCUGCCUUAAAGAGUGGCAGUAACAGGGCAGGGCACUUGUCCAGCUGCAAAAAUCAAUGGUAUGAGACUCCAUUCCAUCAGCUACAACAUUCAGCUCUGUUCCCGGAAACAUACAUCACACUGAUUUGACCGGAUUUUGUCUUUGUCUUUGAAACAGAUUGGUGUGGAGCUGUCCUGGAGAUGCAGAUAUCAACAGAGGAUGAUUCCGAGACAACUGGCCCCUUGCAGUGCAGAUAAACUCCAUUAGGGGGUCUUCUAGUCAUGGUGGCAUAAUCCUGGAUUGUGAUUAAUGACAAUUUUAUAACAAAAUAUUGCCAUCAGAACUUUCCAGUUUAUGAAUACAAGAUAUUGACCCAGACACGAAAUGAAAUGAUUCCUUACAACAGCAGAAGUCAACCAAGGAACAUUCUAUUAAAACUGGCUCUGACUUACAUACUGAAAUGAGUCACACUGUGAAAGCUCCAGAAAGGGGCCGAGGUGGGCGGAUCACGAGGUCA